AAGAGUACUCAAUUUAAUUUUAUUUUUUUAACAUGCACAUAUAUAUAUAUAUAUAUAUAUAUAUAUAUAUAUAUAUAUAUAUAUAUACUUCAUAUAUAUCAUGUGCAAUAUAUAUAAGAAAUUAGCACGCACGAGCAACCGUGGAGAAAUUGGACAAUAAACUAAACACAUGCACUACUUUAUUUAUCAAGCAUAUCUUGCAAGUUUGCACAUACAAAUUAAGCCAUAAUACCAUACAAAUCAUGCAUGCAUGUAUCAAGCAAUGAUUUUAAUUAAUCAGAACUAAUUAAUCUCAUUUUUCUUGUUUCUGUUGAGCUGCUGCUGCAGAACUCCGAGAACGGAUAAGUGCAAGGGUGAAUCUUCCUUUGACUGCAUUUUCUUUCUCCUUUUGCAUUCUCUUCAUUUUUUCAUCAAGUCUCUUUUGCUGCAUGUAAAUCAAAGCAUAGCUAGCUCCAGUACUCGAUGCCAUGAUUAUUUUUAUAAAACUGAAGCUGGGUGUGUGUAUAUAUAUAUAAACUAGCUAGCUAGAGAAUAUUGAAAUAUGAAAUUUUAGGGUUCUAUAUAUAUAUAUAUUGUAUAGUUUGAAUGAACUUGGAGAGACCUAAUGAAGAAAUUUAUAGAGGAGAAUUUCCUCUAAUUGUGACCAACGGUGUCUUUGUUAAUUUCUAAUGGCUGACAACUGUUCAAUAUCUUAUUCAUAUAAUUAAGGCGAUCUAAUUUGAAUAUACACAUAAGAAAGAAUUAAGAAUAUUUAGUCGGU
rnacentral:lncRNA from 1 species